GUUAAGCGACUAAGCGUACACGGUGGAUGCCCUGGCAGUCAGAGGCGAUGAAGGACGUGCUAAUCUGCGAUAAGCGUCGGUAAGGUGAUAUGAACCGUUAUAACCGGCGAUUUCCGAAUGGGGAAACCCAGUGUGUUUCGACACACUAUCAUUAACUGAAUCCAUAGGUUAAUGAGGCGAACCGGGGGAACUGAAACAUCUAAGUACCCCGAGGAAAAGAAAUCAACCGAGAUUCCCCCAGUAGCGGCGAGCGAACGGGGAGCAGCCCAGAGCCUGAAUCAGUGUGUGUGUUAGUGGAAGCGUCUGGAAAGGCGCGCGAUACAGGGUGACAGCCCCGUACACAAAAAUGCACAUGCUGUGAGCUCGAUGAGUAGGGCGGGACACGUGGUAUCCUGUCUGAAUAUGGGGGGACCAUCCUCCAAGGCUAAAUACUCCUGACUGACCGAUAGUGAACCAGUACCGUGAGGGAAAGGCGAAAAGAACCCCGGCGAGGGGAGUGAAAAAGAACCUGAAACCGUGUACGUACAAGCAGUGGGAGCACGCUUAGGCGUGUGACUGCGUACCUUUUGUAUAAUGGGUCAGCGACUUAUAUUCUGUAGCAAGGUUAACCGAAUAGGGGAGCCGAAGGGAAACCGAGUCUUAACUGGGCGUUAAGUUGCAGGGUAUAGACCCGAAACCCGGUGAUCUAGCCAUGGGCAGGUUGAAGGUUGGGUAACACUAACUGGAGGACCGAACCGACUAAUGUUGAAAAAUUAGCGGAUGACUUGUGGCUGGGGGUGAAAGGCCAAUCAAACCGGGAGAUAGCUGGUUCUCCCCGAAAGCUAUUUAGGUAGCGCCUCGUGAAUUCAUCUCCGGGGGUAGAGCACUGUUUCGGCAAGGGGGUCAUCCCGACUUACCAACCCGAUGCAAACUGCGAAUACCGGAGAAUGUUAUCACGGGAGACACACGGCGGGUGCUAACGUCCGUCGUGAAGAGGGAAACAACCCAGACCGCCAGCUAAGGUCCCAAAGUCAUGGUUAAGUGGGAAACGAUGUGGGAAGGCCCAGACAGCCAGGAUGUUGGCUUAGAAGCAGCCAUCAUUUAAAGAAAGCGUAAUAGCUCACUGGUCGAGUCGGCCUGCGCGGAAGAUGUAACGGGGCUAAACCAUGCACCGAAGCUGCGGCAGCGACACUAUGUGUUGUUGGGUAGGGGAGCGUUCUGUAAGCCUGUGAAGGUGUGCUGUGAGGCAUGCUGGAGGUAUCAGAAGUGCGAAUGCUGACAUAAGUAACGAUAAAGCGGGUGAAAAGCCCGCUCGCCGGAAGACCAAGGGUUCCUGUCCAACGUUAAUCGGGGCAGGGUGAGUCGACCCCUAAGGCGAGGCCGAAAGGCGUAGUCGAUGGGAAACAGGUUAAUAUUCCUGUACUUGGUGUUACUGCGAAGGGGGGACGGAGAAGGCUAUGUUGGCCGGGCGACGGUUGUCCCGGUUUAAGCGUGUAGGCUGGUUUUCCAGGCAAAUCCGGAAAAUCAAGGCUGAGGCGUGAUGACGAGGCACUACGGUGCUGAAGCAACAAAUGCCCUGCUUCCAGGAAAAGCCUCUAAGCAUCAGGUAACAUCAAAUCGUACCCCAAACCGACACAGGUGGUCAGGUAGAGAAUACCAAGGCGCUUGAGAGAACUCGGGUGAAGGAACUAGGCAAAAUGGUGCCGUAACUUCGGGAGAAGGCACGCUGAUAUGUAGGUGAGGUCCCUCGCGGAUGGAGCUGAAAUCAGUCGAAGAUACCAGCUGGCUGCAACUGUUUAUUAAAAACACAGCACUGUGCAAACACGAAAGUGGACGUAUACGGUGUGACGCCUGCCCGGUGCCGGAAGGUUAAUUGAUGGGGUUAGCGCAAGCGAAGCUCUUGAUCGAAGCCCCGGUAAACGGCGGCCGUAACUAUAACGGUCCUAAGGUAGCGAAAUUCCUUGUCGGGUAAGUUCCGACCUGCACGAAUGGCGUAAUGAUGGCCAGGCUGUCUCCACCCGAGACUCAGUGAAAUUGAACUCGCUGUGAAGAUGCAGUGUACCCGCGGCAAGACGGAAAGACCCCGUGAACCUUUACUAUAGCUUGACACUGAACAUUGAGCCUUGAUGUGUAGGAUAGGUGGGAGGCUUAGAAGUGUGGACGCCAGUCUGCAUGGAGCCGACCUUGAAAUACCACCCUUUAAUGUUUGAUGUUCUAACGUUGACCCGUAAUCCGGGUUGCGGACAGUGUCUGGUGGGUAGUUUGACUGGGGCGGUCUCCUCCUAAAGAGUAACGGAGGAGCACGAAGGUUGGCUAAUCCUGGUCGGACAUCAGGAGGUUAGUGCAAUGGCAUAAGCCAGCUUGACUGCGAGCGUGACGGCGCGAGCAGGUGCGAAAGCAGGUCAUAGUGAUCCGGUGGUUCUGAAUGGAAGGGCCAUCGCUCAACGGAUAAAAGGUACUCCGGGGAUAACAGGCUGAUACCGCCCAAGAGUUCAUAUCGACGGCGGUGUUUGGCACCUCGAUGUCGGCUCAUCACAUCCUGGGGCUGAAGUAGGUCCCAAGGGUAUGGCUGUUCGCCAUUUAAAGUGGUACGCGAGCUGGGUUUAGAACGUCGUGAGACAGUUCGGUCCCUAUCUGCCGUGGGCGCUGGAGAACUGAGGGGGGCUGCUCCUAGUACGAGAGGACCGGAGUGGACGCAUCACUGGUGUUCGGGUUGUCAUGCCAAUGGCACUGCCCGGUAGCUAAAUGCGGAAGAGAUAAGUGCUGAAAGCAUCUAAGCACGAAACUUGCCCCGAGAUGAGUUCUCCCUGACUCCUUGAGAGUCCUGAAGGAACGUUGAAGACGACGACGUUGAUAGGCCGGGUGUGUAAGCGCAGCGAUGCGUUGAGCUAACCGGUACUAAUGAACCGUGAGGCUUAACCUUACAACGCCGAAGGUGUUU
rnacentral:rRNA from 1 species